ensembl:lncRNA
AUUCUAUUCUGUGACCUGAAGAUUUUUUAUGUCUUUGUCCCGUUGUGCAAGCAUUUGAGGGUCAGCAAUGCUAUUUUAGAAAGGUACUGAAAUGAAUAGCCUAGUGUGAAAUGAAUAACCACAGAUGUAAUCAGUUAGAAAUUAUGAUUGUAGAUUUGUAGCUCUAUAUUACUCUUCAGGUGAUGGAAGCAGUGAAUGAGCUACAGGUAGAGAUGCAGAAGGUGGAAAGUCAGAUUCUCAGCUGUGGCUCUGCGGAACAGCUCGCUCAGACUCGGCUGGACAUCCUGGGCCAGAGACUGAACUAUGAACCCUGUCUGGAUCAGCCAAACACCGAACUCCUGCAGGAGACUAAGAGCCUGUGCAGGAACACGUUCACCCUCAAGAAGAAGCUCCUUCUUUCACAAAAAACACUGGAUGCAAUGUACAGUAACUUGUUCAAUUUGGAUAACGCUGUGAAAGAAAAGACACGCUCGAUUGAGAUAGACCAAAAGUGCCAGGAGAUUCGUCAGAGACUUCUUGGCCUUUAUAGAAUGCCCACAAUCCCUGUGGACUGAGCAGACAGCUAGGAUCCCUCCAUCAGUGCAGUGACUUCACAUGGUGUGAAGAGUAAUGGUCGGUGAUACGCAACAAAGAUAUGAGAAGCAAACCUUUUUCAUCUUUCCUGGAUCUGACACCUAGAUUAAACCUGA